rnacentral:rRNA from 1 species
CAGCAGCCGCGGGAAAACGUAGGUGGCAAGCGUUGUCCGGAAUUAUUGGGCGUAAAGCGCGCGCAGGCGGAUCAGUUAGUCUGUCUUAAAAGUUCGGGGCUUAACCCCGUGAGGGGAUGGAAACUGCUGAUCUAGAGUAUCGGAGAGGAAAGUGGAAUUCCUAGUGUAGCGGUGAAAUGCGUAGAUAUUAGGAAGAACACCAGUGGCGAAGGCGACUUUCUGGACGAAAACUGACGCUGAGGCGCGAAAGCCAGGGGAGCGAACGGGAUUAGAUACCCCCGUAGUCCCUGUCUCUUAUACA